GAUCAUGGCUCAGGACGAACGCUGGCGGCGCGCCUAACACAUGCAAGUCGAACGAGCGAGAGAGAGCUUGCUUUCUUGAGCGAGUGGCGAACGGGUGAGUAACGCGUGAGGAACCUGCCUCAAAGAGGGGGACAACAGUUGGAAACGACUGCUAAUACCGCAUAAGCCCACGACCCGGCAUCGGGUAGAGGGAAAAGGAGCAAUCCGCUUUGAGAUGGCCUCGCGUCCGAUAGU
rnacentral:rRNA from 1 species